rnacentral:rRNA from 1 species
GCUGACCUCGAAUCAGGUGGGACUACCCGCUGAACUUAAG